CAAAGGUUGAUUCCGGUGGCGGAUGGGCAUGCGUCGCAUUAGUUAGUUGGCGGUGUAACGGACCACCAAGACGACGAUGCGUAGGGGUUCUGAGAGGAAGGUCCCCCACACUGGUACUGAGACACGGACCAGACUCCUACGGGAGGCAGCAGUGAGGAAUAUUGGUCAAUGGGCGGGAGCCUGAACCAGCCAAGUCGCGUGAGGGAUGACGGCCCUAUGGGUUGUAAACCUCUUUUGCCGGGGAGCAAAGUGCCGCACGUGUGCGGUUUGGAGAGUACCCGGAGAAAAAGCAUCGGCUAACUCCGUGCCAGCAGCCGCGGUAAUACGGAGGAUGCGAGCGUUAUCCGGAUUUAUUGGGUUUAAAGGGUGCGUAGGCGGACGCUUAAGUCAGCGGUAAAAUUGCGGGGCUCAACCUCGUCGAGCCGUUGAAACUGGGUGCCUUGAGUGGGCGAGAAGUACGCGGAAUGCGUGGUGUAGCGGUGAAAUGCAUAGAUAUCACGCAGAACUCCGAUUGCGAAGGCAGCGUACCGGCGCCCAACUGACGCUGAAGCACGAAGGCGUGGGUAUCGAACAGGAUUAGAUACCCUGGUAGUCCACGCAGUCAACGAUGAAUGCUAG
rnacentral:rRNA from 1 species